rnacentral:rRNA from 1 species
UAAAGCGAAUAGUGAAAUCUGGGGGCUCAACCUCACAGGCUAUUAUUCGAACUCACAAACUCGAGAGUGGUAGAGGUAACUGGAAUUUCUAGUGUAGGAGUGAAAUCCGUAGAUAUUAGAAGGAACACCGAUGGCGUAGGCAGUCUACUGGCUCAUUUCUGACACUAAGGCACGAAAGCGUGGGGAGCGAACGGGAUUAGAUACCCCGGUAGUCCACGCCGUAAACGAUGGAUACUA